rnacentral:rRNA from 1 species
GACAGAGGGUGCAAACGUUGUUCGGAAUUACUGGGCGUAAAGCGUGUGUAGGCGGCCAUAUAAGUCGGAUGUGAAAGCCCUGGGCUCAACCCAGGAAGUGCACUCGAUACUGUAUGGCUCGAGUACUGGAGAGGUUGGUGGAAUUCUCGGUGUAGAGGUGAAGUUCGUAGAUAUCGAGAGGAACACCGGUGGCGAAGGCGGCCAACUGGACAGAUACUGACGCUGAGACACGAAAGCGUGGGGGAGCAAACAGG